rnacentral:tRNA from 1 species
GCCGAAGUGGCGGAAUUGGCAGACGCGCUAGAUUCAGGUUCUAGUCUGGGAAACCAGGUGCAGGUUCAACUCCUGUCUUCGGCA